rnacentral:rRNA from 1 species
CCUACGGGAGGCAGCAGUGAGGAAUAUUGGUCAAUGGCCGAGAGGCUGAACCAGCCAAGUCGCGUGAGGGAAGACGGCCCUACGGGUUGUAAACCUCUUUUGUCGGGGAGUAAAGCGAACCACGUGUGGUUCAUUGAGAGUACCCGAAGAAAAAGCAUCGGCUAACUCCGUGCCAGCAGCCGCGGUAAUACGGAGGAUGCGAGCGUUAUCCGGAUUUAUUGGGUUUACAGGGUGCGCAGGCGGAGGUGCAAGUCAGCGGUAAAAUUGCGGGGCUCAACCCCGUAUUGCCGUUGAAACUGCAUCCCUUGAGUGCGCGAGAGGUAUGCGGAAUGCGUGGUGUAGCGGUGAAAUGCAGAGAUAUCACGCAGAACUCCGAUUGCGAAGGCAGCAUACCGGCGCGUAACUGACGCUCAUGCACGAAAGCGUGGGUAUCGAACAGGAUUAGAUACCCUAGUAGUC